AUUGAACGCUGGCGGCAGGCUUAACACAUGCAAGUCGAGCGGAUGAGAGGAGCUUGCUCCUCGAUUCAGCGGCGGACGGGUGAGUAAUGCCUAGGAAUCUGCCUAGUAGUGGGGGACAACGUUUCGAAAGGAACGCUAAUACCGCAUACGUCCUACGGGAGAAAGUGGGGGAUCUUCGGACCUCACGCUAUUAGAUGAGCCUAGGUCGGAUUAGCUAGUUGGUAGGGUAACGGCCUACCAAGGCGACGAUCCGUAACUGGUCUGAGAGGGUGAUCAGUCACACUGGAACUGAGACACGGUCCAGACUCCUACGGGAGGCAGCAGUGGGGAAUAUUGGACAAUGGGCGAAAGCCUGAUCCAGCCAUGCCGCGUGUUUGAAGAAGGCCCUCGGGUCGUAAAGCACUUUAAGUUGGGAGGAAGGGCUUACAGCGAAUACCUGUGAGUUUUGACGUUACCGACAGAAUAAGCACCGGCUAACUUCGUGCCAGCCGCCGCCGUAA
rnacentral:rRNA from 1 species